rnacentral:rRNA from 1 species
AUGAGGAGUAAAAGUACUUUCCCUGCUGUAGUUCUUUCUGUUUCAGUCAGAGGGUGGCAGUCGACCUGGUUCUACUGUAAGGACCAACCGACCCCUGGUCAGUCGACUGGCCUUCUCCCGUUUUCCAUAGAGCGAGUAAAGAAGCCUUCUCCCUUGAAAGUGACUCCAGCUGAGAAAGUGGAGGUGAACAUGUUGGUUGAGCGAGUAGUCCAACUUGUCCGCGACGGUGUGACUGGCGUGGACUUGUUAGAGGUGUUUCUUAGUCGACGCAUCCAGCCACUCCAACCCGUGAUCAUCCAAUGUGGAUGUACUCGGGUAUUGGUGACAACACUCGGGUCCACCCGGAGGAAGUUGACAAGGAGACGGUGGUGCAGUGGUUGCAGGGCAUCACUAGCAACAAGGACAACCCCAGGGGGUCUAGGAGGAUUCCUCCACUCGACAACACCAACGAACCAGACAAGGUCUAACUCUUUUCUUCCGAGUGUCCUUUGUUCUGACAUGUAUUUAUUCUCGAAACCGAUUGAUAUCCGCUCGACUCUGUGCCUUGCAGAUCUACACUAA